rnacentral:tRNA from 1 species
GCGAAAUUAGUUCAGUGGUAGAACGCUAUCCUUCCAAGUUAGAUGUCAGGAGUUCGAAUCUCCUAUUUCGCU